rnacentral:tRNA from 1 species
GGGUUGUUCACAUAAAUUGACACCGAAUGACAUUUGGUGCGACCGCAUGAAAAAUAUUGAGCAACUGACUUUUAAUCAGUAGGUCGUUGGUUCGAACCCAACACGGCUCACCA